GUUUGUUUGUUGUUGUUGUUGAUGAUGGUUCUUCUCAGGCCAAUUUUCUAGGAAGACUGGUGGACUCUAAUGCGCCAGUAUAAGAGAAGACGUUGGAUGAUUUAUGAAGAAAUUAAUAAUUUGGGCUCCAGCAUGCUUUUUCAGUCAUAAUUUGGUACUUGCUUACCAACUAUGGUAGUGGGAUCUUAUACAUAUGUUAUUCCCACAACUUCUAUCCUUUUAUCUACGAGAUACAACACAAUCCCAGACCUAAAUGAGAGGUUUGUACAAUGAAGGUAUAAAGGGUUCUUUAAUCAUAACAAUGAGAGAUUCUUGCCAAAAAUUACUGAGUCCCUAUAUAUAUGUUCUCCUUGAAAGCGGUGCAGAUAUUGAGACAAGAAUUGAGCAGGUUGAAGUUUUUUCCAGCUGCAAUCAUUUUUUUUUUUCAAAUUCUGAUUUCUGGUUUCAGGUACUCUUUUAAUUUUCUUGUUAUUAUUCUUAAUUUCAAAUUUAGCUUCGUAUGUUAUUAAAUUAUUGAAGCUUACGUGUUUGUUAA